rnacentral:rRNA from 1 species
AGUGAACGCUGGCGGUAGGCCUAACACAUGCAAGUCGAACGGCAGCACAGUAAGAGCUUGCUCUUACGGGUGGCGAGUGGCGGACGGGUGAGGAAUACAUCGGAAUCUACUUUUUCGUGGGGGAUAACGUAGGGAAACUUACGCUAAUACCGCAUACGACCUACGGGUGAAAGCAGGGGAUCUUCGGACCUUGCGCGAUUGAAUGAGCCGAUGUCGGAUUAGCUAGUUGGCGGGGUAAAGGCCCACCAAGGCGACGAUCCGUAGCUGGUCUGAGAGGAUGAUCAGCCACACUGGAACUGAGACACGGUCCAGACUCCUACGGGAGGCAGCAGUGGGGAAUCUUGGACAAUGGGCGCAAGCCUGAUCCAGCCAUGCCGCGUGGGUGAAGAAGGCCUUCGGGUUGUAAAGCCCUUUUGUUGGGAAAGAAAAGCAGCAGGUUAAUACCCCGCUGUUCUGACGGUACCCAAAGAAUAAGCACCGGCUAACUUCGUG